CAUCACCUCCCGGCUGCGGCCGCUCCCGCUCCUUGCGCAGCUCGCGGACCCCGGGGACCGGAAACGGGGCGGCGGGCGGGGAGCAAGCUAGCUAGCGACCCAGGCUCAACUCCGAAUGGAUUGGAUUGCAAGUUUGCACGUGAGAAAACCGUUUGGCUUGGCUUGGACCCCUGCCGCCCCCCCCCACCCCCUCCACACACACCCCAAUCCAGGGGUCUCCUUUAUCACCCUUUGCUUGCAACUCUAAAAGAAGUUGCCCACCUCCUGCGUAACAACCCAGGGUUGAAAUAAUUCCUCUAGAUGAAAGAUCAAUUCCGUUUUCAAAACGAGAAUAGUUUCCUUUUUUUAAAUUUUCUCCACAUGGUACAAAAUAAACAGAAUUUGCUUUAAAAAAAAAAAAAAUCAUUAGUUGUGGCCAAAUUCGAAUUCCUUCUACAGCCUGUGUGUUCAAGGGCAGAAACAUUGUAUCUCUUUGGGCUUCUGGGCCGGCAAGCGGAGCUGAGGGCUUGGGGGGUUGGGGGGGGGGGAUCUGCUGUGAAAGUUGAGGAAAUUGACAGACUGUGAGGUGAAGAGGGGGACCGUCACCAGGUCCUGGCUGAAGGAAAUUGGAAAACAAAAGUGCAUCUUCUUACCCUGACUGGGUGGAGGGAAUCCUGAGGGAGGCAGUUUAUUUUACUCAAAGAAACCCUAAAGAAUUGUUUUUCCUCCCUCCAGUGUCGAUUGCAAUAUUAUUUCAUAUUUACAUGUAUCUGUUGUUUUAAUCCCCUUCGUCUGCGCUAAUCUCGAAAUGGAUUAUUAAUGGGGAAGAAAGAUCGGGAAGGAACGAUUCAUUUGCAGGACUUGUUUUGCUGUGUGAGGAGACGAAAGCACCAGUCCUCUCUCGACUUUUCCCUGCGCCCAGCCCUCCUGCAUCCCGCUGAUCCCACGAUCACCAUUGUCCCCGACCUGGCCUUCGGACUCAGGGAGUGUUCGGAACAAAUUUAUAUUCGGCUUCCUCCCGUCUCCCCGCCAGUGCGUCGGUGGGAACUCUCGGUCAAAUGAGGAGGGGAGUGCCAGGGGCGUGCCAGGCAGGGGCGGGGGGCAACCUGCCCGCGCGCUCACCCCUCGCAGAGACCCUUCCCUUGCCCUCAUCCCAACAUACACCUUAAUGGGAACCUGAAAGAUUGCUUUUUUACCCCAAACCAAAUACUUGAAAGUCGGAACUCCCAGUGCUAAGUGUUGGGGCUGCCUCCUGCCACUUGAACAAUUACUGAGCCCACAGUAAUCAGAUGAUUAGGUGUUUUUAAUGGAAAUACUUCAGUCUUUUUUUUUUUUUUAAGUCAGAUCCUAAGUAACCUGA